UACGUAGGGUGCGAGCGUUGUCCGGAAUUACUGGGCGUAAAGAGCUCGUAGGUGGUUUGUCGCGUUGUUCGUGAAAACUCACAGCUCAACUGUGGGCGUGCGGGCGAUACGGGGCAGACUAGAGUACUGCAGGGGAGACUGGAAUUCCUGGUGUAGCGGUGGAAUGCGCAGAUAUCAGGAGGAACACCGGUGGCGAAGGCGGGUCUCUGGGCAGUAACUGACGCUGAGGAGCGAAAGCGUGGGGAGCGAACAGG
rnacentral:rRNA from 1 species